CCCUUAGAUGUUCUGGGCCGCACGCGCGCUACACUGACGAAUGCAACGAGCUUAUAACCUUGGCCGAAAGGUCUGGGUAAUCUCCAAAUUUCGUCGUGAUGGGGAUAGAUUAUUGCAAUUAUUAAUCUUCAACGAGGAAUGCCUAGUAAGCGCAAGUCAUCAGCUUGCGUUGAUUACGUCCCUGCCCUUUGUACACACCGCCCGUCGACUCUACCGAUUGAAUGGUUCGGUGAAAACUUUGGACUGUGGCAUUGUCCUUCAUUGGACUUCGCCGUAGGAAAUUGUUUAAACCUCAUCAUUUAGAGGAAGAAUAAGUCGUAACA
rnacentral:rRNA from 1 species